AGUAUGGUCGUAUCUAAACCGACACAGGUGAAUUGGAGUUUAGUGCUCUAAGGCAAACAAGAUACAACCAUACUAAAGGAACUCGGCAAAAUGCUUUCGUGUUUAUUGAUAAGAAAGGUCUCGAUUGACCGCAGAUAAUAACUGACAACGACUGUUUAACAAAAACACAAGACUCUGCCAAAAACAAUAGAUGAUAAUUAUCCCGAUUGCGCAAAGCGCAAUCCGGGUAUCCCCCGGCUCGCUGCGCGAGCGGGGAAGAGAUAGUUAUUAUUAACUUCAUAUGCGACAAGUGUGUGAGGUGUUUGAAGUAAAGGGUCUGACAUCUGCCCAAAGGCGAAAGCAAACGGCAGCUGUAACUAUAACGGUUCUAAGGUAGCAAAAUCCCUUGACAUUUAAUUGGUGUCGCGCAUGAAUGAUGUAACGAUUGUCAGGCUGUCUCUAGUGUGGAUUCUGUGAAAUUGAAUUCUUUGUGCAGAUGCGAAGAAGUGUGGGUGGGACGAUAAGACCCUAUGCAUCUUUACAAAAUCAUUAU
rnacentral:rRNA from 16 species